GUCCACUAUUGUGCACUUAAAGCUAUAAAACGCUGACAGCGCCCUGACAGCGCAACUAAAGUUCAAUUCCCCACAUAAGAGGCUGUUCCGGGAAAUCAUCCUGUAAUAUCCAGCCAGAGAAAGUACAAGGAGAAAAAGAGGCACCUCCUCUGCUGCUCUGGAGGUCAUUUACAGAUCACAUCACGCUGCAGGGACCCAUCUGGGCUGAUCUUUGUUGCUUACAGGUGUGGCAUGCCAACAGUUUGGUUGGAGGGAAUGGCCUCAAGUUGCACCAGAGGAGGGUCAGGUUGGACAUGAGGAAAAAAUUCUUCUCUGAAAGAGUGGCACAGGCUGCCCAGGGAGGUGGUGCAGUCACCGUCCCUGGAGGUGUUCCAGAGCCGUGUGGAUGUGGCACUGACAACAUGCAGUGAGAGGUCUUGCUCCAAGGUGUGCUGGGUGAAACACGCUGGCCUCGGUUAUGGAAACCUAGAGAACGUGGUCAUGGGCGUCCCUUCGAUCUUCUGAAGCCUUCAGCUCCAUCAGAGAACUGAAGACCAG
ensembl:lncRNA